rnacentral:rRNA from 1 species
CAGCAGCCGCGGUAAUACGUAGGGGGCAAGCGUUAUCCGGAUUUACUGGGUGUAAAGGGAGCGUAGACGGAGCAGCAAGUCUGAUGUGAAAACCCGGGGCUCAACCCCGGGACUGCAUUGGAAACUGCUGAUCUGGAGUGCCGGAGAGGUAAGCGGAAUUCCUGGUGUAGCGGUGAAAUGCGUAGAUAUUAGGAGGAACACCAGUGGCGAAGGCGGCUUACUGGACGGUAACUGACGUUGAGGCUCGAAAGCGUGGGGAGCAAACAGGAUUAGAUACCCUGGUAGUCCACGCCGUAAACGAUGACUACUAGGUGUCGGGUGGCAAAGCCAUUCGGUGCCGCAGCCAACGCAAUAAGUAGUCCACCUGGGGAGU